UACGAAGGGGGCUAGCGUUGCUCGGAAUCACUGGGCGUAAAGCGCACGUAGGCGGAUCUUUAAGUCAGGGGUGAAAUCCCGGAGCUCAACUCCGGAACUGCCUUCGAUACUGGCGAUCUCGAGUCCGGAAGAGGUGAGUGGAACUCCUAGUGUAGAGGUGGAAUUCGUAGAUAUUAGGAAGAACACCAGUGGCGAAGGCGGCUCACUGGUCCGGUACUGACGCUGAGGUGCGAAAGCGUGGGGAGCAAACAGG
rnacentral:rRNA from 1 species